GGGUUGUGAGGUUAAGCGACUAAGCGUACACGGUGGAUGCCCUGGCAGUCAGAGGCGAUGAAGGACGUGCUAAUCUGCGAUAAGCGUCGGUAAGGUGAUAUGAACCGUUAUAACCGGCGAUUUCCGAAUGGGGAAACCCAGUGUGUUUCGACACACUAUCAUUAACUGAAUCCAUAGGUUAAUGAGGCGAACCGGGGGAACUGAAACAUCUAAGUACCCCGAGGAAAAGAAAUCAACCGAGAUUCCCCCAGUAGCGGCGAGCGAACGGGGAGCAGCCCAGAGCCUGAAUCAGUGUGUGUGUUAGUGGAAGCGUCUGGAAAGGCGCGCGAUACAGGGUGACAGCCCCGUACACAAAAAUGCACAUGCUGUGAGCUCGAUGAGUAGGGCGGGACACGUGGUAUCCUGUCUGAAUAUGGGGGGACCAUCCUCCAAGGCUAAAUACUCCUGACUGACCGAUAGUGAACCAGUACCGUGAGGGAAAGGCGAAAAGAACCCCGGCGAGGGGAGUGAAAAAGAACCUGAAACCGUGUACGUACAAGCAGUGGGAGCACGCUUAGGCGUGUGACUGCGUACCUUUUGUAUAAUGGGUCAGCGACUUAUAUUCUGUAGCAAGGUUAACCGAAUAGGGGAGCCGAAGGGAAACCGAGUCUUAACUGGGCGUUAAGUUGCAGGGUAUAGACCCGAAACCCGGUGAUCUAGCCAUGGGCAGGUUGAAGGUUGGGUAACACUAACUGGAGGACCGAACCGACUAAUGUUGAAAAAUUAGCGGAUGACUUGUGGCUGGGGGUGAAAGGCCAAUCAAACCGGGAGAUAGCUGGUUCUCCCCGAAAGCUAUUUAGGUAGCGCCUCGUGAAUUCAUCUCCGGGGGUAGAGCACUGUUUCGGCAAGGGGGUCAUCCCGACUUACCAACCCGAUGCAAACUGCGAAUACCGGAGAAUGUUAUCACGGGAGACACACGGCGGGUGCUAACGUCCGUCGUGAAGAGGGAAACAACCCAGACCGCCAGCUAAGGUCCCAAAGUCAUGGUUAAGUGGGAAACGAUGUGGGAAGGCCCAGACAGCCAGGAUGUUGGCUUAGAAGCAGCCAUCAUUUAAAGAAAGCGUAAUAGCUCACUGGUCGAGUCGGCCUGCGCGGAAGAUGUAACGGGGCUAAACCAUGCACCGAAGCUGCGGCAGCGACACUAUGUGUUGUUGGGUAGGGGAGCGUUCUGUAAGCCUGUGAAGGUGUACUGUGAGGUAUGCUGGAGGUAUCAGAAGUGCGAAUGCUGACAUAAGUAACGAUAAAGCGGGUGAAAAGCCCGCUCGCCGGAAGACCAAGGGUUCCUGUCCAACGUUAAUCGGGGCAGGGUGAGUCGACCCCUAAGGCGAGGCCGAAAGGCGUAGUCGAUGGGAAACAGGUUAAUAUUCCUGUACUUGGUGUUACUGCGAAGGGGGGACGGAGAAGGCUAUGUUGGCCGGGCGACGGUUGUCCCGGUUUAAGCGUGUAGGCUGGUUUUCCAGGCAAAUCCGGAAAAUCAAGGCUGAGGCGUGAUGACGAGGCACUACGGUGCUGAAGCAACAAAUGCCCUGCUUCCAGGAAAAGCCUCUAAGCAUCAGGUAACAUCAAAUCGUACCCCAAACCGACACAGGUGGUCAGGUAGAGAAUACCAAGGCGCUUGAGAGAACUCGGGUGAAGGAACUAGGCAAAAUGGUGCCGUAACUUCGGGAGAAGGCACGCUGAUAUGUAGGUGAAGUCCCUCGCGGAUGGAGCUGAAAUCAGUCGAAGAUACCAGCUGGCUGCAACUGUUUAUUAAAAACACAGCACUGUGCAAACACGAAAGUGGACGUAUACGGUGUGACGCCUGCCCGGUGCCGGAAGGUUAAUUGAUGGGGUCAGCGCAAGCGAAGCUCUUGAUCGAAGCCCCGGUAAACGGCGGCCGUAACUAUAACGGUCCUAAGGUAGCGAAAUUCCUUGUCGGGUAAGUUCCGACCUGCACGAAUGGCGUAAUGAUGGCCAGGCUGUCUCCACCCGAGACUCAGUGAAAUUGAACUCGCUGUGAAGAUGCAGUGUACCCGCGGCAAGACGGAAAGACCCCGUGAACCUUUACUAUAGCUUGACACUGAACAUUGAGCCUUGAUGUGUAGGAUAGGUGGGAGGCUUUGAAGUGUGGACGCCAGUCUGCAUGGAGCCGACCUUGAAAUACCACCCUUUAAUGUUUGAUGUUCUAACGUUGACCCGUAAUCCGGGUUGCGGACAGUGUCUGGUGGGUAGUUUGACUGGGGCGGUCUCCUCCUAAAGAGUAACGGAGGAGCACGAAGGUUGGCUAAUCCUGGUCGGACAUCAGGAGGUUAGUGCAAUGGCAUAAGCCAGCUUGACUGCGAGCGUGACGGCGCGAGCAGGUGCGAAAGCAGGUCAUAGUGAUCCGGUGGUUCUGAAUGGAAGGGCCAUCGCUCAACGGAUAAAAGGUACUCCGGGGAUAACAGGCUGAUACCGCCCAAGAGUUCAUAUCGACGGCGGUGUUUGGCACCUCGAUGUCGGCUCAUCACAUCCUGGGGCUGAAGUAGGUCCCAAGGGUAUGGCUGUUCGCCAUUUAAAGUGGUACGCGAGCUGGGUUUAGAACGUCGUGAGACAGUUCGGUCCCUAUCUGCCGUGGGCGCUGGAGAAUUGAGGGGGGCUGCUCCUAGUACGAGAGGACCGGAGUGGACGCAUCACUGGUGUUCGGGUUGUCAUGCCAAUGGCACUGCCCGGUAGCUAAAUGCGGAAGAGAUAAGUGCUGAAAGCAUCUAAGCACGAAACUUGCCCCGAGAUGAGUUCUCCCUGACUCCUUGAGAGUCCUGAAGGAACGUUGAAGACGACGACGUUGAUAGGCCGGGUGUGUAAGCGCAGCGAUGCGUUGAGCUAACCGGUACUAAUGAACCGUGAGGCUUAACCUUACAACGCCGAAGGUGUUU
rnacentral:rRNA from 1 species